CCUACGGGGGGCAGCAGUGAGGAAUAUUGGUCAAUGGACGAGAGUCUGAACCAGCCAAGUAGCGUGAAGGAUGACUGCCCUAUGGGUUGUAAACUUCUUUUCUAAGGGAAUAAAAAGAUCCACGUGUGGGAUUUUGUAUGUACCUUAUGAAUAAGGAUCGGCUAACUCCGUGCCAGCAGCCGCGGUAAUACGGAGGAUCCGAGCGUUAUCCGGAUUUAUUGGGUGUAAAGGGAGCGUAGGUGGGUUGUUAAGUCAGUUGUGACAGUUUGCGGAUCAACCGUAAAAUUGCAGUUGAAACUGGCAGUCUUGAGUACAGUAGAGGCAGGCGGAAUUCGUGGUGUAGCGGUGAAAUGCUUAGAUAUCACGAAGAACCCCGAUUGCGAAGGCAGCUUACUGGACUGCAACUGACAGGGAGGCUCGAAAGUGUGGGUAUCAAACAGGAUUAGAUACCCCAGUAGUC
rnacentral:rRNA from 1 species